rnacentral:tRNA from 1 species
GCCUUUGUGGUGUAGUGGUCAGCACGCUCGACACGUAACCGGGAGGUCCAUGGUUCGAAUCCCGAUGAAGGUG